ensembl:lncRNA
AAAUUGCAGAGAUUGUGCUGUAAUUAUAUAAAUAUGUAAUCUGUUGUACUUUGUGUUUCAGAAUGAAGUGCUGUCAUCUUAUCAUGUGAGCCAUUCAUGAUAACAGUGUUGUCAUUGUCUUGGAGAGAUUUGCAGUAAAUGCUGCUCCACACAAACUCCAUCUCUGCAUGUGCUGUGAGUUUGAAUCAAUUACAACGUGCAUUUGAAAAAUCAAUAUGCUCCAAACAUCUUCCCAAGUGUCAGGGAUUCCGUUACAUCACCAUCCACUCUGCCACGUUCCCAAUCACCAGCCUUUUAAUCACCCACACCUGUUGCUGCUAAUCAACACACCUAUAAAACACUCACACGCCUCAGUAUCAGUGUCUGGUCUCAAGGUUGUAAAAGGGAUUCUUACCUGUUUCUCCUUACCUACAUGUGCUCACGUCUGUGUUCUUCUGAGAUUCCCACAGCUCGUUCGCCAUCUGUCAAUACAAGAAAGUCUCUGGUUACUCCAUCAGUGUUGCUAAGGAGCGGACUGUGGCACGUAUCUGAUUGAUUGACUCUGCAAUGCAUGCAUGCUUGAAUCCAAGAUGGCGGCUUACAUGUAGUGUGUGUUUUGGUAUCUCGUUGUUUUGUUUUGUCCAGCAUUUUUUUUUCUACAAUCUUAAGAUCUGUUUUAUGAUUGCAUAAGACUAUUGUUAAAAUGAAGAUGAAUUCCAUACUCCUUCGCCUGUUAAAUUGUCUGCUACUGUGGAUUUUAAUGGACUGCAUGCUUUCAAGCUCCGAAGAGAGAGCUGGUUAUGCGCCGUGUUUUUGGACCAUUCCGAACACCGUGACUUCUUCUGAGUUGGUUGACGGAGAUGCUUUUAUGAGGACCUGGGUUCUCGAGAUUCACCUUAUUUGCCGGGGGCUGUUCAUUUUGAGAGGUAGGCCAAAAGGACUGCGACGUCUGUGGGCCUAUGGAAAUGGAAAGCUGUCUCCUUAUGCGACAUCCAUCUGCAGUGAUCAUUCGACCACUGGCUCUGCCCAGAGCGGGUGCAGCUUCAAACUCCUGAUGAGUUUAAGUCUAGUGAUGGUUUGCGUUUCUUCCACCUUCGACCUUUUAAAGGUUAUCAGUUAUGGCAAAAGUUUGAGUCUCUUGUAA